rnacentral:rRNA from 1 species
AUACGGAGGGGGUUAGCGUUGUUCGGAAUUACUGGGCGUAAAGCGCACGUAGGCGGACUGGAAAGUUGGGGGUGAAAUCCCGGGGCUCAACCCCGGAACUGCCUCCAAAACUUCCAAUCUAGAGAUCGAGAGUGGUAAGUGGAAUUCCGAGUGUAGAGGUGAAAUUCGUAGAUAUUCGGAGGAACACCAGUGGCGAAGGCGGCUCACUGGCUCGAUACUGACGCUGAGGUGCGAAAGCGUGGGGAGCAAACAGGAUUAGAAACCCCAGUAGUCC